CCACUACCUAAUGAAACUCGACUUCAGAGACAUGUGGUGAAUAAGGAGGAAGAGGACGAGGAUUUCUGCUGAGUAAAACCCGAGGUGGUUAACGGUGGUUGGAAGUGGUCGGAGUUGAACGAGGAGGAGGAUGAGGACUUGUGCUCGGUAUAACCCGAGGUAGUUCGCGUUGGUUGCGGGUGAUCGAGGUGGGCGAGGAGGAGGACGAGGAUGACGAGGACUUGUACACUUUCUGUGCCCCACGUGGUGAUCCACUAGUACACAUCCUCCGAUGUGACAUCGCUGUGCUACGUAUAAA